UACGUAGGAGGCGAGCGUUAUCCGGAUUUAUUGGGUUUAAAGGGUGCGUAGGCGGACUUAUAAGUCAGUGGUGAAAUCUCGUUGCUUAACAACGAACGUGCCAUUGAUACUGUAGGUCUUGAGUACAGAUGCCGUUGGCGGAAUGUGUCAUGUAGCGGUGAAAUGCAUAGAUAUGACACAGAACACCGAUUGCGAAGGCAGCUGACGAAACUGUAACUGACGCUGAGGCACGAAAGCGUGGGGAUCAAACAGG
rnacentral:rRNA from 1 species